rnacentral:misc_RNA from 1 species
GGAGGGAUCAUUACACAAAUAUGAAGGCGGGCUGGAACCUCUCGGGGUUACAGCCUUGCUGAAUUAUUCACCCUUGUCUUUUGCGUACUUCUUGUUUCCUUGGUGGGUUCGCCCACCACUAGGACAAACAUAAACCUUUUGUAAUUGCAAUCAGCGUCAGUAACAAAUUAAUAAUUACAACUUUCAACAACGGAUCUCUUGGUUCUGGCAUCGAUGAAGAACGCAGCGAAAUGCGAUAAGUAGUGUGAAUUGCAGAAUUCAGUGAAUCAUCGAAUCUUUGAACGCACAUUGCGCCCUUUGGUAUUCCAAAGGGCAUGCCUGUUCGAGCGUCAUUUGUACCCUCAAGCUUUGCUUGGUGUUGGGCGUCUUGUCUCUAGCUUUGCUGGAGACUCGCCUUAAAGUAAUUGGCAGCCGGCCUACUGGUUUCGGAGCGCAGCACAAGUCGCACUCUCUAUCAGCAAAGGUCUAGCAUCCAUUAAGCCUUUUUUUCAACUUUUGACCUCGGAUCAGGUAGGGAUACCCGCUGAACUUAAGCAUACAAACCGGGGGAAAAAAAAAAUCA